rnacentral:lncRNA from 1 species
UGUUUCCCGAAGAAUCUCUGCCCAUGAUGGAAACAAGCUCCAACUUAUUGAAGAAUAUCUGGCCGAAGUCCGGGAUAAGUUGCUUCAUACCGUUGAACAAACCUCGGACACAUCUAUGUAUAGCACAGAGCGAAACACUGAUGAUAUCACAGAUUCCCAGCCGCCAGAAACCCUGAACGAAGAAGAAGUAUUAGCUAAUGCAGAAGAAUUUCUGAGAUGGGGCCACAAAAAAUAAAACUGAAUAUGUAAUAGUACUGUUUCAAAUUACUGUGGUAAAACACUGUACACUAUUUCAAAACACUGUACACAGGACCCACAUAUUACUGUGUAAGAUUCCUUUUUCUUUUCUAUAUAAGGAGCCUCAUUCUGAAGAAGAGGCAGGAAGAAUUUUAGAAAUUCUCUCUUAUUUUCUCUUGUAAUCUUAGUAAAGCAAUAAAAGUUGGCUUUGUGAAUAAUAUUCCGGCGACUUUCCGGCAAGGUACAUAUAUAUUUAAUUUUUACUUUUUACUUUGUUGCCUUUCUUUAUUCUCCCAGAUCUACGCCGUGACUAUGUCCGGCUAGACUCCCUUUUUAUGCUCAUACGACAGUUCUAACGUCUCGAAGUAUAUGAACUAUGAAAGAUCCAGACUCUACUUAGAUAAUACAAGAAAUUUUAUAGUUUCCCGACUUGGUUCCGAAAUGGAGGUACAGUCGAGAUCAACAGUUUUACGAUAGCUCUGUCUCUGUGACUCCGUCUAGUGAGUUGUGCCUUUGAAGCCCGUAUUAAAGGAAAGGAAGGGCGAUUUUUGCACAAUUAGAA